rnacentral:rRNA from 1 species
UAGUGGCAGACGGGUGAGUAAUGCAUAGGAAUCUACCUAGUAGUAUGGGAUAGCCACUAGAAAUGGUGGGUAAUACUGUAUAAUCCCUGCGGGGGAAAGAUUUAUCGCUAUUAGAUGAGCCUAUGUUAGAUUAGCUAGUUGGUGGGGUAAUGGCCUACCAAGGCUGUGAUCUAUAGCUGGUCUGAGAGGAUGAUCAGCCACACUGGAACUGAGACACGGUCCAGACUCCUACGGGAGGCAGCAGUGGGGAAUAUUGGACAAUGGGCGCAAGCCUGAUCCAGCUAUGCCGCGUGAGUGAGGAAGGCCUUAGGGUUGUAAAACUCUUUCAGCAGGGAAGAUAAUGACGGUACCUGCAGAAGAAGUCCCGGCAAACUCCGUGCCAGCAGCCGCGGUAAUACGGAGGGGGCAAGCGUUGUUCGGAAUUAUUGGGCGUAAAGGGCAUGUAGGCGGUUUGGUAAGUUAAAGGU